AUUGAACGCUGGCGGCAUGCCUUACACAUGCAAGUCGAACGGCAGCGGGGGAGAAGCUUGCUUUUCCUGCCGGCGAGUGGCGAACGGGUGAGUAAUACAUCGGAACGUGCCCUGUAGUGGGGGAUAACUAGUCGAAAGAUUAGCUAAUACCGCAUACGACCUGAGGGUGAAAGUGGGGGGCCGCAAGGCCUCAUGUUAUAGGAGCGGCCGAUGUCUGAUUAGCUAGUUGGUGGGGUAAAGGCCUACCAAGGCGACGAUCAGUAGCUGGUCUGAGAGGACGAUCAGCCACACUGGGACUGAGACACGGCCCAGACUCCUACGGGAGGCAGCAGUGGGGAAUUUUGGACAAUGGGCGAAAGCCUGAUCCAGCAAUGCCGCGUGUGUGAAGAAGGCCUUCGGGUUGUAAAGCACUUUUGUCCGGAAAGAAAUGGCUCUGGUUAAUACCUGGGGUCGAUGACGGUACCGGAAGAAUAAGGACCGGCUAACUACGUGCCAGCCGCCGCAGUAACAC
rnacentral:rRNA from 1 species